GUCUGUGGCCAUGCCACCCUGAACAAGCCCGAUCCCUUCUGAUCUCGGAAGCCAAGCAGGGUCGGGCCUGGUUAGUACUUGGAUGGGAGACCACCUGGGAAGAGCAGGUGCUGUAGGAG
rnacentral:rRNA from 1 species